rnacentral:tRNA from 1 species
GCCAAAGUAGCUCAAUGGGGAGUGCAUUAGACUGAAGAUUUAAAGGUCCCUUGUUCAAUCCCAAGCUUUGGUA